rnacentral:rRNA from 1 species
ACUCCUACGGGAGGCAGCAGUGGGGAAUAUUGGACACUGGGCGCAAGCCUGAUCCAGCCAUGCCGCGUGAGUGAUGAAGGCCCUAGGGUUGUAAAGCUCUUUCACCGGAGAAGAUAAUGACGGUAUCCGGAGAAGAAGCCCCGGCUAACUUCGUGCCAGCAGCCGCGGUAAUACGAAGGGGGCUAGCGUUGUUCGGAAUUACUGGGCGUAAAGCGCACGUAGGCGGAUCGAUCAGUCAGGGGUGAAAUCCCAGGGCUCAACCCUGGAACUGCCUUUGAUACUGUCGAUCUGGAGUAUGGAAGAGGUGAGUGGAAUUCCGAGUGUAGAGGUGAAAUUCGUAGAUAUUCGGAGGAACACCAGUGGCGAAGGCGGCUCACUGGUCCAUUACUGACGCUGAGGUGCGAAAGCGUGGGGAGCAAACAGGAUUAGAAACCCUUGUAGUCCCAUG